rnacentral:tRNA from 1 species
AGAAUAUGCUUUUUUAUGUUAAUGGAAAAAUAUAGUAAUACUAGAUAAUAGUAGAGGGGCGGAUGUAGCCAAGUG